GACGAACGCUGGCGGCGUGCUUAACACAUGCAAGUCGAACGCUGAAGCUCAGCUUUUGUUGGGUGGAUGAGUGGCGAACGGGUGAGUAACACGUGAGUAACCUGCCCCCUUCUUUGGGAUAACGCCCGGAAACGGGUGCUAAUACUGGAUAUUCACUGGUCUUCGCAUGGGGGUUGGUGGAAAGGGUUUUUCUGGUGGGGGAUGGGCUCGCGGCCUAUCAGCUUGUUGGUGGGGUGAUGGCCUACCAAGGCUUUGACGGGUAGCCGGCCUGAGAGGGUGACCGGUCACAUUGGGACUGAGAUACGGCCCAGACUCCUACGGGAGGCAGCAGUGGGGAAUAUUGCACAAUGGGCGCAAGCCUGAUGCAGCGACGCCGCGUGAGGGAUGGAGGCCGUCGGGUUGUGAACCUCUUUCGCUCAUGGUCAAGCCGCAACAAUGGUUGUGGUGAGGGUAGUGGGUAAAGAAGCGCCGGCUAACUACGUG
rnacentral:rRNA from 1 species